rnacentral:rRNA from 1 species
GACAGAGGGUGCAAGCGUUGUUCGGAAUUAUUGGGCGUAAAGGGCGCGUAGGCGGCCUUGCAAGUCAGGUGUGAAAUCCCAGGGCUUAACCCUGGAACUGCAUCUGAUACUGCUUGGCUUGAAUCUCGGAGAGGGUGGUGGAAUUCCUGGUGUAGAGGUGAAAUUCGUAGAUAUCAGGAGGAACACCGGUGGCGAAGGCGACCACCUGGACGAACACUGACGCUGAGUGAGCGAAAGCCAGGGGAGCAAACGGG